ACUCCUGCGGGAGGCAGCAGUGGGGAAUAUUGCACAAUGGGCGCAAGCCUGAUGCAGCCAUGCCGCGUGUAUGAAGAAGGCCUUCGGGUUGUAAAGUACUUUCAGCGGGGAGGAAGGCAAUACGGUUAAUAACCGUGUUGAUUGACGUUACCCGCAGAAGAAGCACCGGCUAACUCCGUGCCAGCAGCCGCGGUAAUACGGAGGGUGCAAGCGUUAAUCGGAAUUACUGGGCGUAAAGCGCACGCAGGCGGUCUGUCAAGUCGGAUGUGAAAUCCCCGGGCUCAACCUGGGAACUGCAUUCGAAACUGGCAGGCUUGAGUCUUGUAGAGGGGGGUAGAAUUCCAGGUGUAGCGGUGAAAUGCGUAGAGAUCUGGAGGAAUACCGGUGGCGAAGGCGGCCCCCUGGACAAAGACUGACGCUCAGGUGCGAAAGCGUGGGGAGCAAACAGGAUUAGAUACCCCUGUAGUCCCAUG
rnacentral:rRNA from 1 species